GACGAACGCUGGCGGCGUGCUUAACACAUGCAAGUCGAGCGGUAAGGCCCUUUCGGGGUACGACGAGCGGCGAACGGGUGAGUAACACGUGGGUGACCUGCCUUCAGCUCUGGGAGUAAGCCUGGGAAACUGGGUCGUAAUAACCGGAUAUGACUCCAUGAUGCAUGUUGUGGGGUGGAAAGCUUUUGUCGGCUGGAGAUGGGCCCGCGGCCUAUCAGCUUGUUGGUGGGGUGANGGCCUACCAAGGCGACGACGGGUAGCCGGCCUGAGAGGGCGACCGGCCACACUGGGACUGAGACACGGCCCAGACUCCUACGGGAGGCAGCAGUGGGGAAUCUUGCGCAAUGGGCGAAAGCCUGACGCAGCGACGCCGCGUGAGGGAUGACGGCCU
rnacentral:rRNA from 1 species